AGGACAGGAAUUUGCUUAAAGAAGUCAAAAUUUGGGAGAUUUGGGAUUACACAGCUUAAAAUGUAAACUGAAAGGAGAGAUAGAAAAGAAAAGGAAACUUUACUUAAAAUAGUUCUCCUUAGACUGGCUAACAGUUACAUAGGUAGCAGCAAUAUUUUGAAAAGGUUGGCCUUUGAGUCAGAUCUGAAUUCCAAUUCUUUCUGCUGUUAGCUGUGUGUCAUUGGAUGAAUUACUCAAUCUCUCUGAAAAUUAGUUAUCAUUUUUCAUAAAGAUGAACCCAUGUUCUAUAACAUUGCAUGUUCCUGCUCAAGUGCUUAAGCAUAAAAUGGAAAGAGUCUCUUAAUACCCUGGAGGAAGACACAGUUGUAAGGGCUGUAUUGUCAGUUAUAAAUAAUGGGAGGGGUUUUGUUUUAUUUUAUUUUAUUUUAUUUUAGUUGCCUUUUAGGGCUGCACCUGCGGCAUAUGGAAGUUCCCAGGCUAGGGGUCAAAAUGAAGCGGCAGCUGCCAGCCUGUGCCACAGCCACAGCAACACCAGAUCUGAGCUGCAUGGGAGACCUACACCACAGCUCAUGGCAACUCCAGAUCCUUAACCCACUGAGCAAGACCAGGAAUUGAACCUGUGUCCUCAUGGAUACUUGUCGGGUUUGUUACUGCUGAGCCACAACGGGAACUAUAAAGAGGGGCUAUAUUUUAAAUAAUAAAAAUACUUUAUUAUCUUACAGAACAAGGAGUGUGAUGCUAGGUCACUUCCAGUUAGUUCAGGGGCUCUGUAAUGUUAAUGAGCCAGGUCGGUGUCUGUUUGGGCUGUUUCCUUAAGAUUUAAAGGGCUGCUGCAGCUUGAAGGAUAUCCUUAGGAGACAGAAAGUUUAGAGAAGGGCAAAGGGUUUUUUUUCUCCUCACAUUCUUCUUUCUUUUAUCAGGGAAGACACUCCUUCCCAGAAGUUCCCAGCAACUGUCAUUUAUCUUAGCUACAAGGAGUGGUGGGAAGUAAGUAUACAGCCUUUUGAGCCUCAGUCUUGGAGGCAGGCUCCACCAGGAGGAAGUAGAGGAUAGAACUGACUAUUGGGUAAACAGCUCCAGAGAUCAAGUAACUAAAGGAGUACGUUUAGAGCAGAUAUUUUCAUUCGUCUUCAACACAUGGUGCUACCAGGCAACAGUAAGCAACUCCAGAAUAUUUUUACUUAAAUCUGAAGUGUAGACUUUUCAUUUAGGUUACUGAAUAAGGGUUACCAUUUCCUACUAUGUACUGGACACUUUACAAACAUCAGCUUAUUUACAUUUCCCAAUAACAUCUCAUAAAGUAGGUAGUAUCAUUCCUCUAUUACAGAGAUCUAGAGAUGUAUAGCAAGUUGCAUAAGGCCCCCUAGCAAGUAAGUGUCUGAGUUGGGAUUUGAAGCCAGAUUUUUCUGACUCCUCUGUUUGUUGUACUUCUUUGCCUCCACCAUGCUCAUCUUCAAAUGCCUACCUACCCCAGGCAGGAAAGAUGGGCUUCCUCUUAGAUGCAGUCAGAUGACCAGAUGACUAACUCUGAGGCCCUUUCUCGCACAGUCAUCUAUGAAGCAAGAGUCCUUUGGUGGCUUGGAGAGAUCCGUUAGUUAUUUUUUUCCCAUUGACCUAAAGCCAUUUAAAAAUGUGCUUAGGUAUGAUUCAGUGAUUCUGAAUACUUUUUUUCUUCCAUUUUUAAUUUUUCUCUCUGACUGCUCCACUCUUGUUUGCAGCUCCUGUGGCUGGAUAAAGCCUGGCAAGUCUUUGGAUGUCAAUCAUUUUGAAGGGUGACUUUCUUGCAUGACUUGGUUAGAUCUGAAAGGAGGAUAGCUACAAUGGGGAGGCUGCGGUGAGGCGUCCCAGGCAGCUGGCAGUCUUGAGCAUCCAAAUGUAAUUGCUCUCUUUUAUUCACCACAGCCUGCCCGCUGUGUUCAUCAGACUGCCCAGUGAACAGAAGGUAAUCAGGGCUGAGACGGCCUCAGAAAGUCAGGCACGUACAACCAAAGUUAAAAAUUAUGUAAAAAAAAUGACUUGGAUGUGAUUUGCUCUCAUAGAACUCAAUUUCUGGAUAAGAACAAGACGAAACAGUGCAAAACUGGGACACUAAAAUUCAUUUUGGCCCACGAAAAUGCAGGGAGUGCUGUGAACAUUUAAUAACGUUGGUAUCUAACCACCCAUAGUAAGUGCUUGCUUAAUGCAUAGACAAGACAGGGAGAUUCAGAAAGCAGGCAACUCAGGGCAUUUCCAAUUUAUUUAAGGAACUCUUUGAUCUGUUUUGAAAUUUAGGAUUCUGCUUUUGACUUUACUAGAUAAAGUUGGAGUAGAAAUGAAUUAUUCAUAUGAAAUAUUGCCUCAAUAACACUGCAUCAAAUAAACAUAAUGAAAAGCUGCCCAUGUUAUAUAAGGGAAGCUAAGUCACAACUCUUUUGAAUUGCAAAGUUAAGCACUAGGGGCUAGACUCUUCUCCAACAUUACUCUGUGGAAGAAUCCACCUAGGAGGAUGUAACACUCAGAUCCUUUUUAUUUCCGGUCAGACAUGCAUUUGUGGUUUAUGGGUUUAAACUUCAGUUGUAACCAUGGUGUUAUUAAAUCUCACAGUCCUCAUCAUGAUUCUAUCCAAGUCACUGGAGGCCUGAGAGCAAUUUCCAGGACAAUGUAGCAUUUUAAGUUUACCACAGAAAUAUGGUAAAACCAGUAUGUUCCCCCUUCCUCCAUGAAUUGUGCGUAGUACAAUAUUUUCAGCAACCACUGAAAGCACACCUAUAUCCAUGCCUUGAAGGCAAAUGGAAACAUCAGUUAUCACCAGUGUUUCUUUUCUGACCAUGCUUUGGAUAAUAGAUUAAAGAGAGAGAAGGAUAAACUAAACCUAAACAGUACAUGUCUGGGGAAUUUAGCUCUGCUGAAAUUCAAUAGAUAGCACUUGAAUUCUUGCUGACAAUCCAACUUUAAAGAAUGGUAGUUCAAUAAAGGUAUAAGUUUCAGAAGCCGCCUUGGACAAAAUGGUAAGGAGGGCAGAUUCUGUCUUAAGAUUUGCUUUUGUCCCCAGGCCUUCCUUUCUUCUUUCCUCCUUCAAGCAUAUCUAUCAUCAUGUGCUAGAUACCAGGCACCAGGCUAAGCUCUGAGAUUCAAUAGCAAACAAGAUGGCAUUUGCCCUCAGAGAGCUGUGUGUUUUAGAGAGGAAGAGAGGCACUAUGAAAAGUACUUACCAAACAUGUGCAAUGAGCAUGAGGUCCAGGGAAUUGCAAGGUGUCAUGGGAGUGUGUGGAUGGGUGUCCCAAGUGUCCAAGAAGAUGUCCUUGAGGAAGGGCAAUGUAAGCCAAGACUAGAAGCCUGUAUAAGCUGGGAGAUAGGGGUGUUGGUGGAGGCUUAGGAGAGUGUUUCGUGGAUAGGAAACAGCCUGGGCAGAGGCCUAGAGGUGACAUAGAGUGUAAAUUGUUGUAGAACUUGAAAGGAGUUUUCUCUGCCUGGGGCUAAUAUUUCCAAGAGGGAGAUGGGAGAGAGGAUUUAAGAAGAGAUGAGAUUAUAGAGUUUAUGUUAGAGAAGAACUUUAUGCUCAGUGUAGUUUGGGAGUUACUGAGGGUUUUCAGCAGGGGUGUGGCAUGGUGAGAUUAAUAUUUUGGAAAGAUCACUGGUGACAUUUUAAAGCAGUGAUUGGAACGGAACAAGAAUGAGGCAGAGAGAUGCCCGGGAAGCUGCUGUAGUCAUCUGCUGAGGGAUGGCUGUGGCCUAGGGCAGGGAAGGACUGUGGGAUGAAGAAGAAUCCAGGAGGUACUAUCAGCAAGACUCGGUGACUGAUUGAUGUGAGGGGCGACCAGGAUACCCUUAGGAAAACUCUCUAUCAGACGAUGGAGAUUAAGCUCGUUAAGAGAACUGAGCAUAUUUAGUCAGGGAAGGUAAAGGGAAGAGGAUACAUGAGAGAGAUUUUCGAAUAUUUAGUGUAGCAUCACUUAAAAAAUGUUUUGUUUAAAUUUAUUGUCUCCCUUUGAGUGGCCAGCUAAGAGUGUAUCUGUUAAAAUAUUAUGUGGCCAAAGACAAUGAGUUGAGUGUAGGUGUUCCCUGAACUCAUGCACUGAAUCCUAGAAGCGGGAGAGGCCUGGGAAUAUGUCCCAGUCCAAAUAGUCUCCACCAAGAACCAGGGAUGGGAAAGAGGAAUUAGGGGUAUGAGACAAAGGGCAGCUGACCUCCAGCUCUCGGCUGCAUUUGUUGGGUAUACAAGGGUGCAAAGUAAAUGCUUCUCUAACUGAGCCACACAGUGGGGCUUCAGAGGGUAGGGUUAAAGUUACAAGGCAGCAGAUAUUAGGAAGUGACAAGGACGAACUUUCUGACAGUGUCUGACAGUCGUUUCAGUGAGGUGAAUGCCUUAUUCCUGGCUGUGUUCAGGUGGAUCUGGCCAUACAUCUGUCAGGCGGGCUUCUUUCUUGUUGAGGUCCACAUCACAUGAUCUCUAUUGUCCCUAAUGCCUAACUCUAAAUAAAUGAUUUGAAGAAAUUACACUCCCUACCAGUGAGGGGAAGCUGUCCAUUUCUCACUCACAUGGUACAACCACAAGUCAGUAUGAGGAGCGCAAGAUUAUUAUUAGAGGAGCUUUGAGUCUCUCCAAAGAGUAUCAUUCUUGUGUGAUUCCGGAUGCUUGCCAUCUUAUAGCUGUGUGACCCUGUGGUCUCUAGACAUUGCCUCAGCUUCUCUAAGUGAAAUAGGAAAGAGAAUUCUCAUUAUAUCAAAUGAAAGCAAUCCACUUUGGUUUUAUAAGUUAACGCAUGAUUAUCAGUUUGGGAAAAACCAUGAGGAAAUAUCCAGAGGAAAAUAUUAUAUCAAUUCUGCCUUUAGCUCGACUACCUCACAAUAAAGAGGCAGAGUGUCAAUCUGAUGUUAGGGCUUAAAGUGAGCAUGAGUUAUAUGUGUUGCUUACAACUCCUUUGGAAACCACUUAGGUGCUCUUUAUAGUAUGAACAAAGGCUACUGAAGACCCUCCUAAAACUGCCAAAUUUGUUUUACUUAUGUCCAAAUUUUUACCCAGGUUUGCUAAGUAAAUAGAAGCCUGUUACCUCUUUUAUCACCUCUCUUUCUCAGGGUUAUACUUUUAAAAGCAUUCUCAACAGGAAAUAAGUUUCAUUAGUACUUGGGAAAUAAAUUGGUGAUGUGACAGAUUCUGUGGUUUGAUGGAAGCUCAAUUAUAAUUGUAUAACAUAAUAUAGCAAGUGCAGAUGAAAUCCUAUUAAGGUCUGGAAAUCCAAUAUCUCAUCUCUAUGACUUUUAAUUGAUCCUUACACAUAUUGUCAUUGCAGUCAAAUAUCUGAGCUGAUUCUAGUACACGUAAACAAAUGUAAGCACAUUAACUCUGUUAAUAAUUUCAACAAGUAAUCUGUAUUUCCCAUUAGACUGUCUCCAGUUUUGCCUUGGCAUAAUUAAAGAUAUCAGCAGUGAUAAGCCUAAUGUGUUAUUUAAAGUACGCAUGUAUUGAAGUCUUGCUUUUAUCAUUAACUACAUCAUGAUGUAAUCUGCAUAGCCAUCAUUCAGACCCUCUCUUGCUCGGAAGCGGGUGGGAGAAGGAGGCCCCAUGGAGUUGUGUUAAAGCUAUAGAGGAAGGGUAGCAAGUCUGAGUUCCAGUCUUGACUUUGCCACUCAAAUACCCAUGUGACAUCUUUGGCCUUUCUGAUGCUGUUUCAUCACCUCCCCUUACAAAGAGAUGGUCCUACUUUUUUCUCUUAGUGCUAACAUUCUGGUUUCUGCAACACUGAUUCUGUAUUUUGUUAAUAAUUGAGGGCUGAAUACAAAAACUGUUGCCUUCAUGUUCAUUUUUUGCUCAAAUUUCAUACAGCUGGACAAUGAAAGUUCAGGUGUGUCUGUCUGGAGACGUGAUCAGGGGAUAUGUUUCUUUUGCUGAUUGUCAUAUCUGCAACAUCAAGCUCAGUGCCUGGAAUUUACUUGAUCAGUAUUUGUUGGAUGAAUGAAAGGAUGAAUGCAUUCUAAUCAUUCUGCCUUCCCAAAGAGAUGGAUUAGAGAGAUUGGCUGGCAUCCCCUCUCAGCAUCCCUUGUUUUAUCAUCCUUCAGUUGGAUGAAAUUAUCAUGAAGUCACCUCUGAAAGUACACCUUUAAUGACAUGACAUGACAUGCCAUGGCACUGAAUGCCUUCUCCCAUCCUUAAUGAAAUGAAAGUGAAUCAGAACAAACUACUCUCUUCCAGCCUGUUCCCCAUACUCGGCUUGUUGGUCAAGGGCAAGCAGAGACUUCAUUUGUCAGUUUCUAGCUUGCUCGAAGUGGGAACCUAGCGUGUGCUACAAAUAUGACAUUUGAGAAUGUUUUUUGAAUACUCAGAAAACAUUGAAGUCUAAACCAUGCUGUAAACAAAAACAACUUUUAAUAUCAGCUCUGACUAAUCCAGUGUUUUUGUUCAUUAAGUAGAACAAACAUUCUGAUUUGCAAUCAAAUAUCUACAGUUAUAAUGAAAGCCUGAGAAAAAUCCUCCCUGGCAGGAGAUCUUAUCUCAGCACACAGAACAGAUAAGAUUCCUUCCUUGAUAGACAUUCUCCACGCCUAGGUGAUUCCAGUAAACAGUCUUUCUGGAGUGAUUUUUAGCAAAUGGGUGGCUUAUUCAUGGGUUUAUCUAUUUAAGUUCAUCACUUUCUGAAAUCGUCUUUGCAUAUAUUAGCAUAUAUUCGUUUCACUGAUUCUUUGUUUCUUUGAUGGGGGAUACUCUGUCUGCUCCUUAUUUCAUCUGAUUUGCUUUUGAAGCAAAGAAUCUUUUUCUUCUUUAGGUGUCCUUUGAAAAUAAAUAGAAUUUCCUGUAC
rnacentral:lncRNA from 1 species